GACGAACGCUGGCGGCGUGCUUAACACAUGCAAGUCGAACGGAAAGGCCUGCUUUCCCUUGUGGAUUGCGGGUACUCGAGUGGCGAACGGGUGAGUAACACGUGAGUGAUCUGCCCCCAACUUGGGUAUAAGCCUGGGAAACUGGGUCUAAUUCCCGAUAGGACUGCAGGGUGGUGCCUGUGGUGGCAAACGAUUUUCUAGUGGUUGGGGAUGAGCUCGCGGCGUAUCAGCUUGUUGGUGGGGUAAUGGCCUACCAAGGCGGCGACGGGUAGCCGGCCUGGGAGGGGGGACGGCCACAGUGGGACUGGGAUACGGCCCAGACUGCGACGGGAGGCAGCAGUGGGGAAUAAAGGACAAUGGGCGGGAGCCUGAUGCAGCGACGCGGUGUGGGGGAUGACGGCCUUCGGGUUGUAAACUCCUUGCGACCGCGAGGAAGCCACCUGGUUGGAAGGGUGGUGACGGUAGUGGUAGAAGAAGCACCGGCUAACUACGUG
rnacentral:rRNA from 1 species